rnacentral:rRNA from 1 species
AUGAACGCUAGCUACAGGCUUAACACAUGCAAGUCGAGGGGCAGCAUGGUCUUAGCUUGCUAAGACUGAUGGCGACCGGCGCACGGGUGAGUAACACGUAUCCAACCUGCCGUCUACUCUUGGACAGCCUUCUGAAAGGAAGAUUAAUACAAGAUGGCAUCAUGAGUCCGCAUGUUCACAUGAUUAAAGGUAUUCCGGUAGACGAUGGGGAUGCGUUCCAUUAGAUAGUAGGCGGGGUAACGGCCCACCUAGUCUUCGAUGGAUAGGGGUUCUGAGAGGAAGGUCCCCCACAUUGGAACUGAGACACGGUCCAAACUCCUACGGGAGGCAGCAGUGAGGAAUAUUGGUCAAUGGGCGAGAGCCUGAACCAGCCAAGUAGCGUGAAGGAUGACUGCCCUAUGGGUUGUAAACUUCUUUUAUAAAGGAAUAAAGUCGGGUAUGUAUACCCGUUUGCAUGUACUUUAUGAAUAAGGAUCGGCUAACUCCGUGCCAGCAGCCGCGGUAAUACGGAGGAUCCGAGCGUUAUCCGGAUUUAUUGGGUUUAAAGGGAGCGUAGAUGGAUGUUUAAGUCAGUUGUGAAAGUUUGCGGCUCAACCGUAAAAUUGCAGUUGAUACUGGAUAUCUUGAGUGCAGUUGAGGCAGGCGGAAUUCGUGGUGUAGCGGUGAAAUGCUUAGAUAUCACGAAGAACUCCGAUUGCGAAGGCAGCCUGCUAAGCUGCAACUGACAUUGAGGCUCGAAAGUGUGGGUAUCAAACAGGAUUAGAUACCCUGGUAGUCCACACGGUAAACGAUGAAUACUCGCUGUUUGCGAUAUACUGCAAGCGGCCAAGCGAAAGCGUUAAGUAUUCCACCUGGGGAGUACGCCGGCAACGGUGAAACUCAAAGGAAUUGACGGGGACCCGCACAAGCGGUGGAGCAUGUGGUUUAAUUCGAAGCAACGCGAAGAACCUUACCAAAUCUUGACAUCCUUUGACAACUCUAGAGAUAGAGCUUUCCCCUUCGGGGGACAAAGUGACAGGUGGUGCAUGGUUGUCGUCAGCUCGUGCCGUGAGGUGUCGGCUUAAGUGCCAUAACGAGCGCAACCCUUGUUGUCAGUUACUAACAGGUUCCGCUGAGGACUCUGACAAGACUGCCAUCGUAAGAUGUGAGGAAGGUGGGGAUGACGUCAAAUCAGCACGGCCCUUACGUCCGGGGCUACACACGUGUUACAAUGGGGGGUACAGAGGGCCGCUACCACGCGAGUGGAUGCCAAUCCCCAAAACCUCUCUCAGUUCGGACUGGAGUCUGCAACCCGACUCCACGAAGCUGGAUUCGCUAGUAAUCGCGCAUCAGCCACGGCGCGGUGAAUACGUUCCCGGGCCUUGUACACACCGCCCGUCAAGCCAUGGGAGCCGGGGGUACCUGAAGUGCGUAACCGCGAGGAGCGCCCUAGGGUAAAACUGGUGACUGGGGCU